rnacentral:tRNA from 1 species
GUUAAAACGCUAAUAGCAUUUAAGUUUCGGCCUUAAACCUGGGUUUAUACCCUUUUAAUA